rnacentral:lncRNA from 1 species
AUGAUGCUCGGCCCAUGGACAGAGCCUGCCCAGUCACCCCCCUGGCCAUUUCCCUCCUGUCCCUUCUGCUCCAGGACAGCCCAAGGAGCAGAAAAGAGUGAUAAGGCCGUGAAAGGAGGCACCUGGGGCGGAGCCGGCUCUAGGAGGUUACCCCAUGCGGAGUACACACUCAGCUACACCCGUUCCGGAAGAGGGAGGAAAGAGCACCCCUGGACUCUGCCGGUCCCAGAGGCCACGCAAACUCCGCCCAGACUCGCAUUGCACCCUCCAGAAAGGCUGAACUUGUUUACAGUUCCGUUAGCACUGGAUGAGAAUGUGGGCUCCUCGGAUUCCAGCCAGCCCUGGGCCACUGCUUCUCUCUUUGAGCCACCAGCUCUCAAUCUGGGGCUUGGCUUUGAAGCGAAGGUUGCUAAGCCUCUAAAUCCUGAUGCACACCAAUGUCGUUUCCCCACUCAUCUGGAAACCUGGUGGGUCCUGCCCAAACACCUGUCAGUUCCACCUCCUGCUUGGCUGCCACCAUGCCAACAGUUUCCACUCAAGCCUUUCAGCUCUGCUUUGGGCACCUGAAGACAGAGUGAAUCAUCUUUCAAGAGUCACAAACUUUGCACAUGCCAUUCCCUCUGGUGAAAAUGCUUUUCCCUUUCUCCCAACUGCCUUAUCAUCAGUCUGCAAAAUAUUUAUUUCUGUUCCUAAAAAUCUCAGAUAUCACUUCUCCAGGAGCUUUCCCAGAUGCCUCACUUUAUUCCAGAAGGAGCUAUCACCACUUUUGCCUGGGAAGUCCGUUUUCACGGUUACACUUAUACGCUAUGGCAAUUUAUUGGUGAUUUGUCUGUCUCCUCUAUCAACAGUGAAUUACUCAUCUAUCCCUGGAAACCUGGAACUGCUCAAUAAAUGUUUGUGGUGUGAAUAUACAUAUUAUUCUCUUCUGCCCUUUGUUUUUUUUUUUUAAAUACCCUUCAAGGCCCUGCUCGGGUGUCACCUCCUUUGUGUAGCUUUCCUGGAUUCACUUCCCUGGUAGAAUUAAUCAUGCCUUCUGCAUUCCCAUGGCACUUUGUGUGUGAUUUCAUUACAGCACUUGCCAAAUUGCCUCAUAUUUCCUUAUCAGUCUAUCUGGGGUUACCACAUUGCACAACUCCAGGGAACACAAUUUACAUUAAAUCAAGCAAUGCAGAGAUGGCACCUGUAUUUGCCAACUAGGCAGUGACCUUCUGCAGAGCAGACCCCGUGACUUUACUAAUACCCUGCAUACAAUGUGCUUUUCUUGUCCACGUUACUGUCCAUUUAGAAUAGGUAUGCAAUAAACAUGC